UAGUCGAUCACAGAAGAUGUUUACGUCUGGUAUCUUGUAUCAGGUAUCUUGUAUCGGGUAGCUUGCAGUAAAUUAUUAGAGGAUCCAUUUGGAUGAGCUAUGUUACUAUGACUGAUUAUGAGAGGGCUUUCUUAUCUGGCUGAGAGGUUGGCUUCAUGUCUUACAUCCUCAAAAAGAGCCACAAACACAGGAUGACAUGCUAACAGACAGCAAGUUUGGUCAGUCUCGAGGGCACCUCUGCCAAGUCACCCUUCCUCAUUCAGUGUGGUUCCUAUAUAAGCAGCACUUUUAAAAACUCUGAAUUAAGACACUUAUGAUAAAUUCAUAUUUCCAAUAUUUUUCAUAUACUGACAUCAAUGAUGAAUUGCCUGUAAACUCUUUGAAGGGGACGGGCAUUUCUGAAACCUGUGCAGUACAUAAAGCAUAAUGCAAAUCUGAGUGGUCAAUAAGAGACAUACAAACAAUGUUCCCACAUGAACCUAUAAUAAACAAAUAAUCUUUACCAUGGCUUUAGCUUUAUUCCCAUCUUUUUGGUUGUAAACAGAUAAACAUUUUGUAGAUGCAUUACAUGUAAUGCUUAAAAUGGAGAUGCCAACAGGACAUCCAAUGUUGAUGUGAUUAUUAGUAUAUUAAUUAGAAAAUUAAACAGCUGUAAUUACAAACCUAAGGUCUAUUUUCAGUGUUAUAGAUGCACAUUAAAAUGACAACAAAUCUGUGAUGUACUCAAACACAUUUGGGAAAUAAAUGACAAAUUUAACAUCCGUACAAAAAAAAAAAAACAA